rnacentral:rRNA from 1 species
GGACUACUAGGGUAUCUAAUCCAGUUCGCUCCCCACGCUGUCGCACCUGAGCGUCAGAUGCUGCCCAGUCCGCUGGUUUCCCCCUUGGUGUUCCUGCCGAUCUCUACGCAUUUCACCACUACACCGGCAAUUCCACGGACCUCUGCAGCCCUCCAGCCCGGCGGUUUGGGAUGACCUCGCACGGUUAAGCCGCGCGCUUUCACACCCCACCCUCCACGGCCGCCUGCGUGCGCUUUACGCCCAGUCACUCCGGACAACGCUUGGCUCCUCUGUCUUACCGCGGCUGCUGGCAC